rnacentral:rRNA from 1 species
CCUACGGGAGGCCGCAGUGAGGAAUAUUUGUCAAUGGACGAUAGUCUGAACCAGCCAAGUAGCGUGAAUGAUGACUGCCCUAUGGGUUGUAAACUUCUUUUAUAUGGGAAUAAAAUGUUCCACGUGUGGGAUUUUGUAUGUACCAUAUGAAUACGGAUCGGCUAACUCCGUUCCAGCAGCCGCGGUAAUACGGUGGAUCCGAGCGUUAUCCGGAUUUAUUGUGUUUAAAGGUAGCGUAUGUGGAUUGUUAAGUCAGUUGUGAAAGUUUGCGGCUCAACCGGAAAAUGGCAGUUGAGGCUGGGAGUCUUGAGUACAGUAGAGGUGGGCGGAAUUCGUGGUGUAGCGGUGAAAUGCUUAGAUAUCACGAAGAACUCCGAUUGCGAAGGCAGCUCACUGGACUGCAACUGACACUGAGGCUCGAAAGUGUGGGGAUCAAACAGGAUUAGAUACCCGAGUAGUC